rnacentral:rRNA from 1 species
AACGAACGCUGGCGGCAUGCCUAACACAUGCAAGUCGAACGAGACCUUCGGGUCUAGUGGCGCACGGGUGCGUAACGCGUGGGAAUCUGCCCUUGGGUUCGGGAUAACAGUUGGAAACGACUGCUAAUACCGGAUGAUGACUUCGGUCCAAAGAUUUAUCGCCCAGGGAUGAGCCCGCGUCGGAUUAGCUAGUUGGUGAGGUAAAGGCUCACCAAGGCGACGAUCCGUAGCUGGUCUGAGAGGAUGAUCAGCCACACUGGGACUGAGACACGGCCCAGACUCCUACGGGAGGCAGCAGUGGGGAAUAUUGGACAAUGGGCGAAAGCCUGAUCCAGCAAUGCCGCGUGAGUGAUG